ACGCUCGACACCUACUGGAGGCAGCAGUGGGGAAUAUUGCACAAUGGGGGAAACCCUGAUGCAGCGACGCCGCGUGGAGGAAGAAGGUCUUCGGAUUGUAAACUCCUGUUGUUGGGGAAAAAAGNGGAUGGUACCCAACAAGGAAGUGACGGCUAACUACGUGCCAGCACGCCGGUACGGUAAUCUGAGGCGGGCUGGACAAGGC
rnacentral:rRNA from 1 species